rnacentral:rRNA from 1 species
GCCCGCGUCUGAUUAGCUAGUUGGUAAGGUAACGGCUUACCAAGGCGACGAUCAGUAGCCGACCUGAGAGGGUGAUCGGCCACAUUGGGACUGAGACACGGCCCAAACUCCUACGGGAGGCAGCAGUGGGGAAUAUUGCACAAUGGGGGAAACCCUGAUGCAGCGACGCCGCGUGAAGGAAGAAGUAUUUCGGUAUGUAAAGGUCUAUCAGCAAGGAAGAAAAUGACGGUACCUGACUAAGAAGCCCCGGCUAACUAC